CAAACACGAAGCGAUGUCAUAACAUACUGCCGAUCGAUAAAAGAUUUGGAGAUGGACUGUAUAUCUCCCAAUCUGAUCUGGAAGUGGAAUCGCAUUUGUGUUCUUAGGAGGGGAGGAUUUCAUCAUCUGAAGGUUGUGAUUGGUCCUCUCACUUAUCUUUUGGUCUUGCUAGUCAGUGAAUUCAAACAGGUGGAGUGCAUUGGGUUCCUGUAGGCAAGGCGGAGAAGUUAGCCAAGCUUCACCUUCCUGGCCUCCUCUUUCAUGGCUCCAAAGGUGUCAUCAGAACUCUAAAUUCAAAUAUUGUAUUUUCGACAAUAGGUGUCAUCGAAGACGAGCACACACACGUCUUGUGCUACGUAAGGAGCCUCGGCAAAGCUCCAGUAGUGACCAAUUGCCUUGCUUCUGGCAUGGAGGGAGCAGCUUUUCUUAUUUGCUUCAAGACCAAUGGUCAUGGCUAUGAUCAAGGAAUAGCACAUCCAAAAGAAGAGAGGUGCGUGGCUCGUCAGUAGCAGUGGUAACCUGCAGCUUUGACUUUCUUUGUGAGUUUGAAAGUGCUACAGAGACGAGACGCUGCUGCCAGGAUUUGAGAGAGCAAGUUGUCGCUGCUACAAUAUGGGGAGGCCUGUUGCUGGGAUUUGAGAGCGCAAGGCCUGCAGCGGAGGCGCUGCUCUGAUAUGUUCAUCGGGACGCUGCCCGACAUGGUUCUUCGGGACGCUGUCCGGCAUGGUCAUCGGGACGUUGCCCGACAUGGUAUUUUUUUUUGCUUUUUGCUUUGGUAUGGCAUCGUUGAGAGGCUUGUGACAUCAAAAGAAGGUGGAGCAUGGAAGGGAGGGAGUAUCAACCUUUGUGGUGUCUUGGAUAUCUCCUUUGAGCUUCGCCUUCCUCUGCAGCAGGGCUUCGGCUAUUCUCCUUCCUCUCCGCGUCCUAUCUUCUUGCUGUCUCUUCAAGCUGCUCUCUGCUUCUUCACCAUCCUCCCCCCCUUGACGUACGUGGACUUCUUUUUUAUAGGAGUCGUAGAUAAGACUUUGAAUUUCAAUUAGC